rnacentral:rRNA from 1 species
UUUAUGGAGAGUUUGAUCCUGGCUCAGAGUGAACGCUGGCGGCGUGCCUAAUACAUGCAAGUCGAACGAUGAAGCUUCUAGCUUGCUAGAAUGCUGAUUAGUGGCGCACGGGUGAGUAACGCAUAGGUUAUGUGCCUCUUAGUUUGGGAUAGCCAUUGGAAACGAUGAUUAAUACCAGAUACUCCCUACGGGGGAAAGAUUUAUCGCUAAGAGAUCAGCCUAUGUCCUAUCAGCUUGUUGGUAAGGUAAUGGCUUACCAAGGCUAUGACGGGUAUCCGGCCUGAGAGGGUGAACGGACACACUGGAACUGAGACACGGUCCAGACUCCUACGGGAGGCAGCAGUAGGGAAUAUUGCUCAAUGGGGGAAACCCUGAAGCAGCAACGCCGCGUGGAGGAUGAAGGUUUUAGGAUUGUAAACUCCUUUUGUUAGAGAAGAUAAUGACGGUAUCUAACGAAUAAGCACCGGCUAACUCCGUGCCAGCAGCCGCGGUAAUACGGAGGGUGCAAGCGUUACUCGGAAUCACUGGGCGUAAAGAGCGCGUAGGCGGGAUAGUCAGUCAGGUGUGAAAUCCUAUGGCUUAACCAUAGAACUGCAUUUGAAACUACUAUUCUAGAGUGUGGGAGAGGUAGGUGGAAUUCUUGGUGUAGGGGUAAAAUCCGUAGAGAUCAAGAGGAAUACUCAUUGCGAAGGCGACCUGCUGGAACAUUACUGACGCUGAUUGCGCGAAAGCGUGGGGAGCAAACAGGAUUAGAUACCCUGGUAGUCCACGCCCUAAACGAUGGAUGCUAGUUGUUGGAGGGCUUAGUCUCUCCAGUAAUGCAGCUAACGCAUUAAGCAUCCCGCCUGGGGAGUACGGUCGCAAGAUUAAAACUCAAAGGAAUAGACGGGGACCCGCACAAGCGGUGGAGCAUGUGGUUUAAUUCGAAGAUACACGAAGAACCUUACCUAGGCUUGACAUUGAGAGAAUCCGCUAGAAAUAGUGGAGUGUCUGGCUUGCUAGACCUUGAAAACAGGUGCUGCACGGCUGUCGUCAGCUCGUGUCGUGAGAUGUUGGGUUAAGUCCCGCAACGAGCGCAACCCCCUUUCUUAGUUGCUAACAGGUUAUGCUGAGAACUCUAAGGAUACUGCCUCCGUAAGGAGGAGGAAGGUGGGGACGACGUCAAGUCAUCAUGGCCCUUACGCCUAGGGCUACACACGUGCUACAAUGGGGUGCACAAAGAGAAGCAAUACUGCGAAGUGGAGCCAAUCUUCAAAACACCUCUCAGUUCGGAUUGUAGGCUGCAACUCGCCUGCAUGAAGCUGGAAUCGCUAGUAAUCGCAAAUCAGCCAUGUUGCGGUGAAUACGUUCCCGGGUCUUGUACUCACCGCCCGUCACACCAUGGGAGUUGUGUUUGCCUUAAGUCAGGAUGCUAAAUUGGCUACUGCCCACGGCACACACAGCGACUGGGGUGAAGUCGUAACAAGGUAACCGUAGGUGAACCUGCGGUUGGAUCACCUCCUUUCUA